ACGUAGGGGGCGAGCGUUGUUCGGAAUUACUGGGCGUAAAGGGCAUGUAGGCGGCUUGGUAAGCCUGGCGUGAAAGACUGCAGCUUAACUGUAGGGAUGCGUUGGGAACUGCUUAGCUUGAGUUACGGAGAGGGAGCUGGAAUUCCUGGUGUAGGGGUGAAAUCUGUAGAUAUCAGGAAGAACACCGAUGGCGAAGGCAAGCUUCUGGUCGAUAACUGACGCUGAGGUGCGAAAGUGUGGGGAUCAAACAG
rnacentral:rRNA from 1 species